GGCUCAAUGGUCUAGUGGUAUGAUUCGCGCUUCGGGUGAUUAAUUCUUCUCGAAUUAUUCCCAUUACCCGUCAUACAGGUAACAUUGAUGUGCGAGGUCUCGGGUUCGAAUCCCGAUUGAGCCC